ensembl:lincRNA
GGAACUUCUAAACACGUUUGGCCUGAGGUGUGGCAUGAAGAGGUCUUACAGCUGUGUGAAGGAACGUUGUGCAAAAGACAAAGAUGCGAAGGAAACCUCCUAAAAGCCAAGCCUUGGGACAGAGGUCUCUAACUGGAGACAUAAAUUAGGAGACUUGAUCCAGGUUAGAGCCAGAGGGGAUGCAUUACCAGGUUCCAUUAGCAAAAGGUAACUGAGGUGGGGGAAGAACAUGAGGGGAAAGGUGGAAGGAGAAAGAACGCAUUAGUAAAGGAGAGACCUUACAAAUGAUGUCAGGGCUAAAAAAGAAAAAAAGAAUAAAAACAUAAAAAAUAAAUAGAGAGGUAGAGACCACAAGCCAACCUUCCAAGGAGUUAUCCCAACUGUUCAAAACCAGGAACAGCAAGGGGCCACAGAGAAGCUGAGAAGUCAUUCCACAGCCCCUGGUCACAGCCACCAGAGCAGCCUGAAGGUCCAUGUGGCCCAGCAGCUUCCAAGCUCCCGGCUUGGGGUGAGGCGAGUUUAGCCUGCUGCAGCCUCUUGCCCCCUUUCUCCCACCCUUCCAGGCCCUCUAGGGUCUGUUUCCCUGAAGCUUUGUCCUGGGAGAUGGGGGGCAUGGCUUCCACCCUCAUCAGGGCUACAGAACCUGUUCACACAUUCACACAUCCAGCCCUUCCUUAAAAACCCUCCCUCCCUGCCGAGCCCUCCCCUCCGUCACCACUUCUUGUCAGGGGACUUCAGCUGUUCAAUCGAGUCUCUGAUGAGGUGCCCGACCCAGAUCUAAUCUCAGGAAAAGAUCAAGAUGAUUUUCCUGUUUGGGUUCAGCCCCAAGGGCAUUCUCGGAGAGGAAUCUGCCAGCAUCCUGCCUUGACAACCGUUCACUAUUAAAAUGUCACAAACAUGAAUAAAACAUGUUCAUUUCUAAAAAAAGAAAACCUGCUCUGCCUCAUGCCUCUCUCCUCCCUCCCCCAUUUCUCUCCCUCUCUCCCUCUCUCCCCUCUCUCUCCUUUCCAAACCUGCUCUCGGAGGAUGGGGAAGAAAUCAUGGGUUCCAAGGAACAUUCCUGUACUCACCAGUCACCCCACAGAGACAAGCACACACUCAGUCACAGACUCCGGCUUCUGGCUUGAGCUGUUCAUCGACGCACAGGAAAGAGAGAGGGGGUGCACGCAAGUCUUACCUACUCAGUUUGGAUGUCCGGAGACAGCUGAGUUGAGCUCAGGAAAGAUGUCCAGGGGAUGGGGCUGUGAGAGAUUCCAAGAGGCAGCCAAGCGAUGGGGAAUUCCUCAGCUCCUGCUUCCUCUGCUCCUCCAGCCGCCUGCACCCAGAGGGGGGCCUGCCCUCCAUCACCAGGAAAAGCUGUAGGCAGAGCUGCAUCCAUAUGGGAGCUUCUCUGCCAACCAAGUUGCUAAGGAACAGGAGUUGGAACCAGAUUGGGGUAACAUUGGCACUUGGGACACAAGCACAGUUGAAACUGAAGUAUAGCAGCAACAGAGAAAGCAGAAAACAGCUUCGUGAUUUCCUUCAAAGCCAGCCCUUACUCAUAACUUUAUAGCAGAUUCGUAG